rnacentral:rRNA from 1 species
AACGAACGCUGGCGGCAUGCCUAACACAUGCAAGUCGAACGAGACCUUCGGGUCUAGUGGCGCACGGGUGCGUAACGCGUGGGAACCUGCCUUUAGGUUCGGAAUAACUCAGAGAAUUUUGAGCUAAUACCGGAUGAUGUCUUCCGACCAAAGAUUUAUCGCCUUUAGAUGGGCCGGCGUUGGAUUAGCUAGUUGGUGGGGUAAAGGCCUACCAAUGCAACGAUCCAUAGCUGGUCUGAGAGGAUGAUCAGCGACACUGGGGGUGGGAAACGGCCCAGAAUACUACAGGAGGGAGGAAUGGGGGAUAUAGGAAAAUGGGGGGAGGGCUGAACCAGCAAGGACGGGUGAGUGAUGAAGGCCGGAAGGAUGGGAAGCAAGUUUACCCGAGGUGGUAAUGACAGUACCGGGAGAAUAAGCACCGGCUAACUCCGUG